rnacentral:rRNA from 1 species
UACGGGGGGGGCAAGCGUUGUUCGGAAUUACUGGGCGUAAAGGGCUCGUAGGUGGCCAACUAAGUCAGACGUGAAUCCUCCGCGUUAACCGGGGAACUGCAUCUGAUACUGGAUGGCUUGAGUUCGGGAGAGGGAUGCGGAAUUCCAGGUGUAGCGGUGAAAUGCGUAGAUAUCUGGAGGAACACCGGUGGCGAAGGCGGCAUCCUGGACCGGCACUGACGCUGAGGAGCGAAAGCCAGGGGAGCAAACGGG